CCAAAGGCUCUUCUCAGAGCCACUCUCUCUUCCAAAGAGAACUGG
rfam:Loxodonta africana unplaced genomic scaffold scaffold_108, whole genome shotgun sequence.